rnacentral:rRNA from 1 species
GUGAGACUGCCGGUGACAAACCGGAGGAAGGUGGGGAUGACGUCAAGUCCUCAUGGCCCUUAUGGGUAGGGCUUCACACGUCAUACAAUGGUCGGUACAGAGGGUUGCCAAGCCGCGAGGUGGAGCCAAUCCCUUAAAGCCGAUCGUAGUCCGGAUCGUAGUCUGCAACUCGACUACGUGAAGUCGGAAUCGCUAGUAAUCGCAGAUCAGCAUGCUGCGGUGAAUACGUUCCCGGGUCUU